UUACCUUAAAAAGAAGAGUAUUCCGACUGGCAGGGUGGGGAUAUUCUUGAAGAAAACUUUCAUUGUUUUCUACGCUCAAAGCUUCUUAAAACUCUAAAGAAAUAAGCUCAAUAUUAUAGAAGAAGAAUUCUCUGAUUCUUGUGUGAUUUUCAAUUUUAACUAAGCAUCCUAUUUUGAAUUUAAAAAAUCACGUGUGCACAGUGACAAUUCGGC
rnacentral:lncRNA from 1 species